rnacentral:rRNA from 1 species
AUACGGAGGGUCCGAGCGUUAUCCGGAAUUAUUGGGUUUAAAGGGUCCGUAGGCGGGCGAUUAAGUCAGUGGUGAAAGUCUGCAGCUCAACUGUAGAAUUGCCUUUGAUACUGAUUGUCUUGAGUUAUAGUGAAGUUGCCGGAAUAUGUAGUGUAGCGGUGAAAUGCAUAGAUAUUACAUAGAACACCGAUUGCGAAGGCAGGUGACUAACUGUAUACUGACGCUGAUGGACGAAAGCGUGGGGAGCGAACAGGAUUAGAAACCCUAGUAGUCC